rnacentral:lncRNA from 1 species
ACUCCUGCCCCUGCCACGAGAACACACCCUUUCCAGUUUGCUGGAGAAAUAUAAGAGAAGUCCAGUGAAAGAGAGCUGAGUUUCCCCAAUGAUGCCAUCAAGAUGAACUAACUACAGUUAACCAGCCAGCUGAUAGCAGAUGCAUGAGUGAGCCCAGCUGAGAGCAGGUGAAACUGAAAUUGGCUGUAUCAUCUGAAACUUCAUCUGUGAAGUCCCUGGUGGUUUCCUAGAUGACUACACAGUUGAGUUGCCUCUGAUUGGAAAAGCAGUGUUUUGGUUUUUCAGUUUGUACAAGAGGAAGAAGACGCAUGAUAUGUGUUUGGCUCAUGUGCCUGAAUAUGGCUCCACAGGGAAGACUUGAUACAGCUGAAGCUAUUGCUUUUUAGAGACUUUUUAUUUUGAGCAGCUGCCUUAACAGCCUUCGUCUUGUUACAUCACAUGAGAUAUAUCUCUGGAAUAGGAAGAGAAAAAAGACAUGACUGAGCAAUAAUUUUUGACUAAAACUUAAAAUUACAAAACCAAAACCAGAGAUAGAUGUCCCUGAAGUUGUAUUUUUAUAGUAUGUGAGAACACAAUUUUCUUAUCCUAGUUUUAAGGCAUUCCUCUGGACCCAGGAUUUUUGUUUAGUUUCAUUCACAUAAUCAAACUCUUUUUUUUUUUUUUGCCAUAGACUAAUGCAUUUUGGUGUAAUGAUCUGAGCCCUUAUCCAGAAGGCAUCUAAGACUCAUGUACAAAAAUAGAUUUCAGGGCUAAACAUUCUAAAAGACAAUUGAGUGCUUCUUUUUUCUCCGGCCCCUAGAUGUAAAUGAAUAACCUCUGUUCACUAACUCUUAAUGUAAUAUAAGGGAUAAAUUAUGCUUGUUUAUUUAAUUGUGCUUAACCAGAGUACUAGGUUGGAGUCAAACCACAGAUAUAUUUGUGAGAUGUGACAAAAUGUAGCUUUUAGCCCGUAAUACCCAAGUCAUCUGGGAACAUAACUGAUGACAGUGUCAACACCUUUCAGGAAUUCUGGAGGUGCCUUUGAGUUUAGAAAUUCGUAGGUUCUCUAGAAGCAACAGUAGCAUACUAAAUUAACACAUAACAUUUCAAGCUACAUUUACAUAAUUGCAGUGGUUAUGAUUAAUACAAAUUAUAUUAACUGCCUGUUUUACUCCUUAUAGCUGAUUGGCUGAAUUUACCAGUGGGUUUGGUAUGUUCAACAAAUGAUCCAAAUUACCUUUUCAUUUCAGUUAAGAAACUAAUCAAAGCAAAUACACUUUGAUUUGUUGAGAGGCAGAGAUUCUCCCUAAGUGGCAAUGUCCUUGGCCUUCUAAGCUAAAACCUAAAUGGAACUAUAAUAUAUAUUUUGAUGCUUUAUCUCACUUGAGUUUUUUAUUCUUUAACUGAAGGGCAGCCAUGGACCAUAAAUACAUAGAAGAUAAAAAUAUAUUGAGCUUAGGAGUUUGGUCUGUUCAAUGGAUGAGAACUUUAUAUUUUCCCUUAUAAACACAAUUUUCAAAGAAUAGCCUGUAAUAGUCGUGAAAAUGGAAACCAAUACUGGGGAAAUGUGGACUGCAACUCUGAAAAGGUAUCAAAAUGCCCGAUAGUUCAACACAAGGGCUAAGCAAUAUUUCAGGGAUGUGGCCUGUCUUUGGUGGCUCGGUCACUCUAGUGAGAUGAAUUUGGAAAAGGAUAGGCAUACAGAAUCCCCCCUCUGGCAGGGUUUGCCUUUGGGGUCUGCUUAAAGCCAUGUUUGCUAGUAGAAAUCUUGAGUAACCAGAUAUGUUUUAUAAUGCUGUGUCAUAUUUAAAUUCUGAUGAGAUUGACAUCUUUAAAUAAGCUUGGACACAGAUUGGAUUUGUACAGGGAACUGGACUGAAGAAUAAUCGUAGGUCAGUAAUAGAUUUAGAUAUACUAUUUUUAUAUUGUAAGCAGUUACUUCUCAGGAUUAGUAUUCUAAUUCAUUUGAUUUAAUAUGUAAUAGGUAAUAUUAAAAAUAAAGAUUUUAUGCUUUGAAA